GUAGCUCAGUUGGAUAGAGCAUCUGCCUUCUAAGCAGAGGGUCGCGGGUUCGAUUCCUGCCG
rnacentral:tRNA from 1 species